UAGAUCUUGCUUCUAGGUUCACUUGUUCAACCUAUGUUCACGACACUAGGUUAAUGCCACUCGAUCUAUUCAAUACCUAAUUGUCCACAUCGAGUUUCUAUAAACAUCCACAUUAUCAACAUGCAUAUUAUACUUAGCCUUUUCUCAUUAUGUCACUAUGUGUAACCCCCGAGAUCUCGGUGAAAUAUUGUGGACUUUAGCCAAAUUGACUAAAGUACUCGAAAGGAUUGGUUGGACGCGAUCCCUUAACAUCCCAACCAUGUUAGAAGGUUAAAAAUGAGUUCUAAAAGAGUUGGAAUGGUUUUAGCGUUGUUCGGUACGAAAUAGAAUCGAAAACGAGCUAAAACUGCAUUCUGGAGCAUUGUGUACCGGUACAGGUUGAUGGCUGUACCGGUACAGCAAGCGACCUGAAGAAAAGGCUACUCUCGGAUUUGGGCUGGAAAAAGGCUGUGUAUCGGUGACAGGAUUUCGUGUACCGGUACAGUGCACCGUGGACCACAGAAAAAGGCUGUUGUACCGGUGACAGGAACCCGUGUACCGGUACGGCGCACUGUGGACCGCAGGUGCAGCCUGCUACCGAAUUAGAGAGUUGGAGGGCCUAACUGCAAUUGUAGCAGCCCAAAUAAGACCCAAACCCUCUCCUCUCUUCACAGCAACAAGGAGAUCUCUCUCUCCCUCAUUUUCUCUCUCUAGAGAGCUCUCCAAGAGGUGGAUUUGGAGGAGUAGCUUGAGGGAUUUGAGGCUUUUGGAAGCUUGGGAGUUCUCCAACAAGAAGAACCUUGGAUAGCAUUGUGGCUAAGGUGAGGUUCCGUGCAAGAGUGGGUCUAGGGUUUGGUUUUAUGCCCUAGAACUCAUGGUUUUGGCUCUUUUGCAUAUGUAGAAACCCUCUAGAGUCUUGAGAACAUAUGAAAACCAUGGUUUCUCAAAGUCCUCUCAUGGUGAACUUCUAGGGUUCAUAUUUGAUGCCCUAGAAAUGGUUCAAAUGGUUUAGAAACGAGAUUAGAGAGCUUCUUGGGUGGUUCUAAGCUUGAUUAUGCUUAGCAACGAGAUCAAUCCUAAGAAAUUUAAUUAUGACUUGGUUAGGGCACCAAAUUUAGGGCUUUUGCCACCGGGUGUUUCUAAGAAAAAUUGGCCUUGUAGAAACCUAAUUGGGGACCUAACGAAUGCGUUGAAACGCUCGGUUCGGCAAUCCGACGAACGUACGCGAAGUUAUUGACGAAACGGUCGGUUUUGGUACAGAUAGCCGCAGCACGUGGAAUAAAGGUCUAAAAAUCAUGAGAUCGGAACUGGAGCACAUUGGAGUCAAGGAAUAAACUCCGGAAAAGACGGAUCGCGGUUCGGAGGUCGUUUGGAAGUCGCGCAAGAGUUCGGGCCAAACCGAGCAACGGUUGCCACGGGAGGCCGAUUGCAAAUGACUACAAGCAAUCGGAGCGCGAGUUAAGGUGGGUUGGUUUACUGAAGCGACUAGGUCGCCUUUAUGCCUAAGAAAUCAAGAAUCCAUGUUGAUGCAUAUAAAUGUAAAUGAAGCAUGUAAAUAAUGCAAGUAGCUAAAUAAUGCAUGUUGAUAGUGUGAUGUAAAUGAGAUAUAGAAUGCACUAUGAGCAAGUUGAAUAAAGCUAGAUAAUUAUGUGAAUGCAUGUAAGCAUAAUGCAUAGAAUGAAAGGCAUAUUGAUGACAUAAGUUAAAAUGAGAUAUAGAAUGCAUGAUGAACAAGUUAUAUAAUGCUACAUAAUUACAUGAAUGCAUGUGAACAUAAUAGAUAGAAUGCAUGUUGACAUUGUGAGACUAAAUGUGCAUGAAAACUAAGUUGAUAACCCUAGAAUGAUUAAAGUAAAUGAUGCUAUGUUAAGGUAUAGAUGAUGAGCAUGAUAUGAAAAUAGUACAUGCAAGUACAUGGUAAGAAUGCUAAGAAAAGGACAACAAGUAUAGGUGGACAUGAAUCAACCUAUAGAUCGAGUGGCAUAAAUCCUAGUGUCAAGAACAUAGGUUAAAUAAGAAUGAUGCCAAACCUAACGUAAGGAACAUAGGUUGUGAUAUAAAGGUGCUUAACCUAGAGUCAAGUGAACUUAGGUUGGAAAGAAUAAUAAUCCUAGUGUAAUAAACCUAGGUUAAGAAUGUGAAAGCAAUAAACCUAAUGGGCUAAUUUAGGUUGAGUAAAGGCUUAGACCUAGAGUGGUCAGUUCCAUAGGGUUAAGACCAACCCUUGGUUAAUGUGAUAUGGAUUCCGGAAUCUCAAAGCUUGCUGAUACACCCAAAGUGGUGUCGGGUGUGUGCGACGAUUUCGCCACCCAGGGGCUAGAGAACCAUUGUCGUGGCGUGUGUGCGAUGAUUUUGCCGCUGGAUGGUUAGCCAGUUUGUGGAUCCUACCGCCUGUUGACUGAACCACUGUCGUGGCGUGUGUGCGACGAUUUCGCCGCCGGGUGGCUAAGUCAUUGAACCUAGGCCGUUGUUGGGUGAGGUGCGAUUCGUUCGCCGCCAGACGGCUAGGACAGGAGUACGGUGAGCUGUUGCCAGCUGAGGUGCAUGUGAGAGUUCCUUCACCUCGAGCUAGACAGUGCGCGGACUAUCCGCGAUUGAUUGACUCAAGACCGAGUCGGGUGGCUUUGUUGACUAAGGUAAAGUGACCUUAGAGUAGAAUGCCAAAGGCUAAGAUAUAGCAUGGUUCAAGAAUGUUAAGAGUAAAGAAUAGCUAAAGAACAAAGAGUGGCUAAAGAAUAAUGAAUAGCUAAAGAAAGGAAUAGCUAAGAGCUAAAAGUAAGCAUCAAAUGGCAAAGAGUAAAGAAUGAUUAAGAACAUAAGUAGUGUUAAAGUAACCUACUUGCAUGAUUCCAGAUAUUGCAUAUUGCAUU
rnacentral:lncRNA from 1 species